AUGUGUUCUUGUUUGUUGCACUUUGCUUCACAGGGGAAAAGAAGAAUAAAUAACUUUGUUCUCCGCAGCAACCAUCCCGCAACCCGGCGAUCUCCGCCGGCGAAGCCCACCAACGCACCCGACCACCCGCAGCCGGCCGCUUCUACGAGAUCCAAACUACAACCUAUGCCGCGACCCAUGACCGAGAUCCAAAUGACCUGUCUCUUCAAACCGCAAGCAGCCCCUUUUGGCUUUAGAUCCGCGACUAUGACUCACUCACUGACACGACCGAACAACAACAACCCUGUGAGCUUUACGCGACCAUGA